UCCCUGGUGCCUCAGAUGGUAAAGAAUCUGCCUGCAAUGCAGGAGACCCAGGUUCGAUCCCUGGGUUGGGAA
rfam:Ovis aries breed Texel chromosome 1, whole genome shotgun sequence.